GGUGUUGUGGCUGAGCGGUAGAGUGCUUGCCUUGCAGAUGCGAGAUCCAGGAUUCCAUCCUCAGCACCA
rnacentral:tRNA from 1 species